UACGAAGGGUGCAAGCGUUACUCGGAAUUACUGGGCGUAAAGCGUGCGUAGGUGGUUUGUUAAGUCUGUUGUGAAAGCCCCGGGCUCAACCUGGGAAUGGCAAUGGAUACUGGCAGGCUAGAGUGCGGUAGAGGGUAGUGGAAUUCCCGGUGUAGCGGUGAAAUGCGUAGAUAUCUGGAGGAACACCGGUGGCGAAGGCGGCAUCCUGGACCGGUAUUGACGCUGAGGCGCGAAAGCUAGGGGAGCAAACGGG
rnacentral:rRNA from 1 species